rnacentral:rRNA from 1 species
GUGGGGAAUAUUGCGCAAUGGGCGAAAGCCUGACGCAGCGACGCCGCGUGUGGGAUGAAGGUCUUCGGAUUGUAAACCACUGUCGGGAGGGACGAAGCUCUGACGGUACCUCCAAAGGAAGCACCGGCUAACUCUGUGCCAGCAGCCGCGGUAAUACAGAGGGUGCGAGCGUUGUCCGGAAUCACUGGGCGUAAAGGGCGCGUAGGCGGCUUGGUAAGUAGAGGGUGAAAUCUCACAGCUCAACUGUGAGGCUGCCUUCUAAACUGCCUGGCUUGAGCACAGUAGAGGCGAGUGGAAUUCCCGGUGUAGCGGUGGAAUGCGUAGAGAUCGGGAAGAACAUCGGUGGCGAAGGCGGCUCGCUGGGCUGUAGCUGACGCUGAGGCGCGAAAGCGUGGGGAGCAAACAGGAUUAGAUACCCUGGUAGUCC